rnacentral:rRNA from 1 species
CAGUAGCCGCGGGAAUACGGAGGGUGCAAGCGUUAAUCGGAAUUACUGGGCGUAAAGCGUGCGUAGGCGGUUCGUUAAGUCUGUUGUGAAAGCCCCGGGCUCAACCUGGGAAUGGCAAUGGAUACUGGCGAGCUAGAGUGUGUCAGAGGAUGGUGGAAUUCCCGGUGUAGCGGUGAAAUGCGUAGAGAUCGGGAGGAACAUCAGUGGCGAAGGCGGCCAUCUGGGACAACACUGACGCUGAGGCACGAAAGCGUGGGGAGCAAACAGGAUUAGAUACCCCGGUAGUCCCUGUCUCUUAUAC